rnacentral:rRNA from 1 species
UGCGUAGGCGGCUUUUUAAGUCGGAUGUGAAAUCCCUGAGCUUAACUUAGGAAUUGCAUUCGAUACUGGGAAGCUAGAGUAUGGGAGAGGAUGGUAGAAUUCCAGGUGUAGCGGUGAAAUGCGUAGAGAUCUGGAGGAAUACCGAUGGCGAAGGCAGCCAUCUGGCCUAAUACUGACGCUGAGGUACGAAAGCAUGGUGAGCACACAUGAUUAGAUAUCCUCGUA